GAUGAAGAACGUAGCGAAAUGCGAUAAGUAAUGUGAAUUGCAGAAUUCAGUGAAUCAUCGAAUCUUUGAACGUACAUUGCGCCCGCCAGUAUUCUGGCGGGCAUGCCUGUUCGAGCGUCAUUUCAACCAUCAAGCCCCCGGCUUGUGUUGGGGACCUGCGGCUGCCGCAGGCCCUGAAAACCAGUGGCGGGCUCGCUAGUCACUCCGAGCGUAGUAAUACAUCUCGCUCAGGGCGUGCUGCGGGUUCCGGCCGUUAAAAGCCUUAUUUUACCCAAGGUUGACCUCGGAUCAGGUAGGAAGACCCGCUGAACUUAAGCAUAUCAAUAAGCGGAGGA
rnacentral:misc_RNA from 1 species